rnacentral:rRNA from 1 species
AUUGAACGCUGGCGGCAUGCCUUACACAUGCAAGUCGAACGGCAGCAUGAUCUAGCUUGCUAGAUUGAUGGCGAGUGGCGAACGGGUGAGUAAUACAUCGGAACGUGCCCUGUAGUGGGGGAUAACUAGUCGAAAGAUUAGCUAAUACCGCAUACGACCUGAGGGUGAAAGUGGGGGACCGCAGGGCCUCCUGCUUUAGAAGCGGCGGAUGUCUGAUUAGCUAGUUGGUGAGGUAAAGGCUCACCAAGGCGACGAUCAGUAGCUGGUCUGAGAGGACGAUCAGCCACACUGGGACUGAGACACGGCCCAGACUCCUACGGGAGGCAGCAGUGGGGAAUUUUGGACAAUGGGCGAAAGCCUGAUCCAGCAAUGCCGCGUGUGUGAAGAAGGCCUUCGGGUUGUAAAGCACUUUUGUCCGGAAAGAAAUGGCUCUGGUUAAUACCUGGGGUCGAUGACGGUACCGGAAGAAUAAGGACCGGCUAACUACGUG